rnacentral:tmRNA from 1 species
GGGGGCGAAACGGCUUCGACGGGGACAUGGAAGCAAUGGCUGCAUACCGAGUUCCGCUGGCUCGUAAAAACCGGCGGCGUCUAAACACAAAAGCAGACGAUUAUAACUACGCCCUAGCUGCUUAAAGCCAGCUAGCGUCCUUCCGGGUUUUUUCCUGCGGACCCGGUACAGGGCGUCGAUCAGCAGGAUAGCCGAUCCGGGAUGCCUGUUCCCGGUAAGGCGAAACUCAAACAGGCUAGCGGUUUAAGGAUCCAGUCUGAAGGAGCCUUAAACUGCGAAAUCCAAAAUUCAGACUAAGUAUGUAGAUGCCGUUGUGGAAUGUUUCCGGACGCGGGUUCGACUCCCGCCGCCUCCACCA